GGCGUAAAGAGCUCGUAGGUGGUUUGUCGCGUUGUUCGUGAAAACUCACAGCUUAACUGUGGGCGUGCGGGCGAUACGGGCAGACUAGAGUACUGCAGGGGAGACUGGAAUUCCUGGUGUAGCGGUGGAAUGCGCAGAUAUCAGGAGGAACACCGGUGGCGAAGGCGGGUCUCUGGGCAGUAACUGGCGCUGAGGAGCGAAGGCGUGGGGAGCGAACAGGAUUAGAUACCCUGGUAGUCCACGCGCGUAAACGGUGGGGUACUAGGUGUGGGUUCCUUCCUUGGGAUCCGUGCCGUAGCUAACGCAUUUAAGUACCCCGCCUGGGGAGUACGGCCGCAAGGCUAAAACUCAAAGGGAAUUCGACGGGGGGCCCGCACAAGCGGCGGAGCAUGUGGAUUAAUUCGAUGCAACGCGAAGAACCUUACCUGGGUUUGACAUGCACAGGACGCUGGUAGAGAUAUCAGUUCCCUUGUGGCCUGUGUGCAGGUGGUGCAUGGCUGUCGUCAGCUCGUGUCGUGAGAUGUUGGGUUAAGUCCCGCAACGAGCGCAACCCCUAUCUUAUGUUGCCAGCGCGUUAUGGCGGGGACUCGUAAGAGACUGCCGGGGUCAACUCGGAGGAAGGUGGGGAUGACGUCAAGUCAUCAUGCCCCUUAUGUCCAGGGCUUCACACAUGCUACAAUGGCCGGUACAAAGGGCUGCGAAUCCGCGAGGUGGAGCGAAUCCCCUGAAAGCCGGUCUCAGUUCGGAUCGGGGUCUGCAACUCGACCCCGUGAAGUUGGAGUCGCU
rnacentral:rRNA from 1 species